GGCAGGAUGGGCCUUUAUUAUGGAUCCAUCCCAAUGCAUCUCCUGCUAAGAUUAUUGACUGGUAUCCCGAUGUGGUUGCUCAGCUUGCACUCCGUGGGUUGAAGGCAGCUAUUACUCAUUUUGGGAAAGAACCCAAAACUUUGAUAGUACCAUAUACAGCCAUUCAGGUUCAAACAUUAGCUGCUACCUCAAAUGCUUGGGCAGUGUUAGUUACUUCCUUUGCUGGACAGACUGAUAAUCAUUAUCCAAAACACCCGAUCCUACAAUUUGCUUUAAGCCAAGCCAUUGUGUUCCCACGCAUAAUGUCUCAGAAACCACUUGUUGAUGGGGUUGUAGUGUAUACAGAUGGGUCAAAAACUGGUACAGGUGCUUAUGUGGUCAAUAAUAAGGUAAUAUCUAAGCAGUAUAAUGAAACCUCACCUCAAGUUGUGGAAUGUUUAGUGGUGCUAGAGG
rnacentral:lncRNA from 1 species